AAUUCUCAACUAUACAAGUUUUUUUUCAAGACAUGUAUAGCUUGGACUUUGGGAUUUUGCGGGCUUUAACAAGUCGGCUAUCCUUAAAUGCAUUAGCAGAGCUUUUGCCGCUAAUCAUUGGUGUGAUAAUUAUCUACGCCGUCUGACUCUGAAACAAGACUUGUGGGGACCUGCUUAUAACUGUCUCUUCGGAGACAAUCUUGACAAU
rnacentral:misc_RNA from 1 species